CAGCCUUGAAUACAGACGUUCCUGGCUUAGCCCUGGCUGCAAUUGCAUACUGGAAAACUGAAUUGGCUUAUGUUGUCUACCCGUCCUGGACAUGUCUCAAAGAUCUCAGCUGUGCCCACUAUUCACAGAUGGUGUGGAAAAAUUCAACCUCUGUUGGAUGUGGCGUCGCUCAGUGUGUGAAUGUUGAUGGUAUAGGCCCUAAUUUCGUCUCUUGUAACUAUUGGCCUAGAGGGAACAUCAGAGGACAGUUGCCGUAUUAGCUGAUGGGACUACACGCUACAAGCAGAGACGUGUCCAGUUUUUUGG